rnacentral:rRNA from 1 species
ACACGGAGGGCGCAAGCGUUGCUCGGAAUCACUGGGCGUAAAGCGGGUGUAGGCGGUCUAGCAAGUCAGAUGUGAAAGCCCACGGCUCAACCGUGGAAGUGCAUCUGAAACUGCUAGACUUGAGUGCCGGAGAGGGAAGUGGAAUUCCUGGUGUAGGGGUGAAAUCCGUAGAUAACAGGAGGAACACCGGUGGCGAAGGCGACUUCCUGGACGGCCACUGACGCUGAGACCCGAAAGCGUGGGGAGCAAACAGGAUUAGAAACCCUAGUAGUCC